AUUGUUUUUUUUCCACUAAUUUUUUUUCCAUGAAAUCCCUCAAGUUGAUAUUUUGGAUACUGUCCGAUGGCCUGGCGGUGGCUUUACAUUUUUCAGAGAGAGACAUGAGACAGAGGUAAAAUGCAAGCACAAACGUGGCAUUUAUUGUCUUCCAUACCAACAAGAGGAGACACCGACACCAACAAGCAACAAAACAACUUGCACUGGAAGUAACUUGCUGCCUUUUAUACACUCCCUCCUGCAGCUUCAUGGUUUGCUCCUGCAGCUCUUAAGCAGGUGCUUGGGCCUACAACACUCCUUUGCCUCCGCCCCCUGCUGAAGAGACAACCAGGAAGAGGCAGGAUGGCCAGACCCCCCCCUGUGGAACCACUCACAAAGACAGCUAUCAAAUGAUUCACAAAUUAAAUAAACAAUCAAAAUAA